GCAAAACACUAGUACUUCGACUGUGUGUUAAAUAAAACACCAUGGACUUAUUACGUAGUAUACACCAUUUAUAUUCUUUGGGUCAUGACUGUAAAAUGUUAUUAAAAUAUUGUUGAAACCCACACACAAAACUAAUGUCACGGAUGCACGGUACUACUGGGUGCUUCAGCAACAAACGACCACAACUGAAAUGGCAGAAUUGGUAGAAGAAUUCUCAGAACGGAGUAGCAGAUCUAGUGUCUUCUCAGAAACAUCAAAACUGCUAUUGAGAGCGAAAUGGGAUACUUUCAGAGAAUGUCUUUGAUGGAUCGUCACAAUGUUACGAGAAGUGAAUGACCAACAAUGAAUGACCAACAAAGAACUAUCUGAAAGCAGCACCAAAAUGUUACCAUGGACUGAACCUGGCUAAUGCAUGGACUAGCUAGACUAUAUUUAGUGAGGUAUCACAAUGUAAGAGAAGACGACUGGUAAUAACCUAACAAGGACAUGGCCAUUAAGUAUUAAGAAUAGUAUCUCAUUAAUUUGAUUUAUUUUGGAAAAUACCUAGUAGGUGUAAAAUAUAUAUUUAUAAAUACCUCGUAUGGAUUAUUACGUCAGGAGUAUCCUAUGUUUUUAGGUCAGUGCCCACAGUUUAAAAACCUAACUGGUAACUUCCCCUCUAAUUCAGAACUAAUGUAACGUUUUGCCGUGGAAUUAUACUACAUUUAAUAUGGUUGGUUCAUCAGCAUAUCAGCAUAAUAUUAAAGAGGCUCAAAAUAUUAUUAUACGGCUCUUUGAUAUUUACUUCGUUAUGCAAAUGGUCUUGGGAUACAAUCGUCUGUAUUAAGAUUUAAAAAAGAUUAAUUGAUAGUCAAAAUGGAAAAUACUACGGCUUUUAAUAUGCCAGUCGUGAACCAUUGUUCGAAAAAAAUCAAACCCUAGUACUGAUGGCAGAAGUAAGGGCACUUCAUUGCGUAAACUGUCAGAUUUUUAACCCAUUAUGUUCUGUCAAUAAUAACUCAUAAACACGUGCGUCAAAGCAAUAAUGAAUUCAGGAUCGUUAAUUUAAAAAAAGAGCAAACUUAUGUUAGAAUCAGUAGAUGAACCGGUCCAUAGUAGAUGUAUUUAAAGGAAAGGUAAUGUUUAGCGACAUCUCUGUACAAUUAGAACUGCUUAUAUUAGAUGUCAAGCGUGUAACUGCAAUGCAUUGUUUGCAAAGUAAAGAAAUAAAUCCGCAACAGGCACAUUAAUUAUUGUUACCAAUUCGAAUCUAAGGAUCAAACGUUUGAUUAUAUGCAGUUUACCGCACAGACUUAGCACAUGACCUCUAAUAUACCAUUUGUAGAGUUGGAAGGACGAGGGAUUAUUUAAGAUUCCGUAGGUUUUGGAAUAUUUAAAACGCGUUCUAAUGUUGAUUCACAGCCGUUUCAUCCGACUAGCAGGUUGAGCAGAAAUGGUUUUGCUUCAUUUUAGAAAAAAUAUGUUUGCAAACUUUAAGGUUUUAAAAGGCUUGUUAGUGCAGUCGUUUAUGUAAAAUAUGGGUAUGUUUUCCUUUUUGGUUUAGGGAGAACAAAACCGAAUUCUUCUUGUGUUGGAUGUUGUGGUCUUGUUUUAGCUAGUUUACUGAGUGUUCACUAAUUAAAUAUUGGUACUAAACAUUUAUUAAAAAA